ACGGGUGAGUAAUAUAUCGGAACGUGCCCAGUUGUGGGGGAUAGCCCGGCGAAAGCCGGAUUAAUACCGCAUACGACCUGAGGGUGAAAGCGGGGGAUCGCAAGACCUCGCGCAAUUGGAGCGGCCGAUAUCAGAUUAGCUAGUUGGUGGGGUAAAGGCCUACCAAGGCGACGAUCUGUAGCUGGUCUGAGAGGACGACCAGCCACACUGGGACUGAGACACGGCCCAGACUCCUACGGGAGGCAGCAGUGGGGAAUUUUGGACAAUGGGCGCAAGCCUGAUCCAGCCAUGCCGCGUGCGGGAAGAAGGCCUUCGGGUUGUAAACCGCUUUUGUCAGGGAAGAAACGGUCUGAUCUAAUAAAUUGGACUAAUGACGGUACCUGAAGAAUAAGCACCGGCUAACUACGUGCCAGCAGCCGCGGUAAUACGUAGGGUGCAAGCGUUAAUCGGAAUUACUGGGCGUAAAGCGUGCGCAGGCGGCUAUGCAAGACAGAUGUGAAAUCCCCGGGCUCAACCUGGGAACUGCAUUUGUGACUGCAUGGCUAGAGUACGGUAGAGGGGGAUGGAAUUCCGCGUGUAGCA
rnacentral:rRNA from 1 species